AAUUCACAUGAGCCAAAAGGGGUUCUUCUCAUUAACCCUAAAUUUCAAAGAAUUACUCAAAUCAAAGGAGAAAUAAAGCUUAAAUUUGGGGCUUUUAAUAAAACCGUGAUCACCAAGCUUAGGGGAUCACAAGUUUGGCGCUUAACAAGCUAGGUGGAAACUUGUGAAUGAAGCGGGUCAAACGGAAAGGAAAAGCAUAGUUCGGAUGUGAGGUAAGUGAAACUUAUUCUUUUGUAGAAUACGUAUAAAUUCUAUAAGUUAUGAAUACGAGAAGGUUAAUAUUCGAAAUACGGGUUCCGACGCAUAAUGAUACGGGUCGGAACAAAUAUAAAUGAUAGAAACUAUGGUUUAUGAUAAAGAGGGUAAAAAUGGAAAUAUAGUCAAGCGUCGACUAAUGUAAAUUUAACUUAAAAAGGAUCUUGAGUUAAAAUCCGAAAUGGGUCGGAUGUGAGAGUGAGAAAUUGAAAACCAUGUUUUUUUAACCUAUACGAAUGUUUGGUCAUACAGUCCAAACAGGUCAAAUGGUGGUGAAAACACCAUUUGACAAUAUCGACUAAUGAUUGUUGUGAAGUCAUAUGUUAACAGGAGCAAAUAGCAAAUUGGAAAAAUUGCGACACCACAGAAUAUCAGUUAAUUUAAAGCAAGAUAUAAAACGGGUCUAUAUAUUGACUCGAGCCAGGUAUAUCUUGGGAUGCCGGAAGAAGAUCUAGCUCAUCGAGGAACCGAACACGAUCAAGAUAUAAGCUUCCGCACUAUGUUUCGUUGUCAUCUUUAAACGACGAACACAAAUAUAUUA